rnacentral:rRNA from 1 species
CCUACGGGUGGCAGCAGUGGGGAAUAUUGCACAAUGGGCGAAAGCCUGAUGCAGCAACGCCGCGUGAGGGAAGAAGGGUUUCGGCUCGUAAACCUCUAUCAACAGGGACGAAAGAAAUGACGGUACCUGAAUAAGAAGCCCCGGCUAACUACGUGCCAGCAGCCGCGGUAAUACGUAGGGGGCAAGCGUUAUCCGGAUUUACUGGGUGUAAAGGGUGCGUAGGCGGCAUGGUAAGCCAGAAGUGAAAGCCAUGGGCUUAACCCGAGGAUUGCACUGGAAACUAUCGAGCUGGAGUGCAGGAGAGGAAAGUGGAAUUCCUAGUGUAGCGGUGAAAUGCGUAGAUAUUAGGAGGAACACCAGUGGCGAAGGCGGCUUUCUGGACUGAAACUGACGCUGAGGCACGAAAGCGUGGGGAGCGAACAGGAUUAGAUACCCGAGUAGUC